GUCUCUGUGGUGCAAUAGGUCUAGUGUGUUUGGCUGUUGGCCAAAAGGUUGGUGAUUCGAGCCCACCUAGAGACA